GCGGGCAUAGUUCAAUCGGUAGAACGUCGGUGUGCCAUGCCGAAGAUGGCGGUUCGAGGCCGCCUGUCCGCU
rnacentral:tRNA from 1 species